UUUUCCUGCCUAAGUUGGUUUAAUCUUGGCCACCUACACCCCUGCAGUGCUCUGCAUGGUGCCUGGCUCUGAUUUCUCAUUCUGAUGCUGCCCUGCCUUGGAGGAAGGUUCUUGGACAGAACAAAUAAAUGGGUGAGAGGAGAGUGAGGUCGGAGCUGGAAUUCCCUGUCUUGGGACCUACAGGAGCCAGGAGACAAACUGGGACGUUGUCCCUGGGCCCCAGAAUUGGGUUAGAGGUCAGCCCCGCCCACGGAGCCUCUGCUGUGCACAGGUCCGUGCAGGACACUGGACAUGAGUCGCCUGCUUCUGAUCGUCACUCAGAACCUGUGAAGUGCUGUUCUCCACUGCCGGCGAAAGGAUCCAGGAGGAAGAAGCGGGGUACCUCCACGUGCUCACGGGGUGAAUGUUCCCAUUCUCACUGAGGAGAGAAACAGUCUGAGAGGCCGCGGUGGCUCUCUUGGAGUGGUGUGACUGGAGGGCCUUCAGGAGUCAGGCCGUUGCACAGACAAACAGUCCACGGAGCAGAGGCUCUCAGUUCGUAGCUGGUCCACGAGGAGGCUGGCUCUCUUGACUCCAUCAGGGUUCUGACCGUCUUCCCUCCUUGAGAUGGUGAUGUUUCUCCCGUGGACAUCAGGGCUGUGGUGAGAAGCCGCAGGACUUGGUGAGAAGCUUUCUACGUUCCUUGGGGUCCCUCUUCUCACUGGGGGACCGCUCGGCCAGUUUCUGCAAGAUGAAAAUACAAAAUACCUCUGCCUUCUGAGAGCGCAUCUGAACCUCAGUGAAGUAAAAUUUUCUUCGCUUUUCUAGAAUUUUUCCACUUUGGUCCUAAAAGCAUGAGUGAUUUGGGAAGUGGGACAGGAGUCCUGUUUUCACAGGACUCGCAGGUGCCCGGGAUGAGGACCGGCGGGCCGGCGAAGUUCUGAGGGGCAGACACAGGUCGCCCAGGCAGACGUUUGAGGGGUGAGAGAGUUCAGUCCAGCCCCAGAAAGCGCCUUGUCACUCCUCACUGCGUCAGGGUGGAGGCCCAGAGCCAGGAGUGUGGGAGACGGAGAGGUGGGUGCCAUUCCCGAGGGAGAUGGCGGCACGGUGGGAAGACAAGACGCUUGGCUUUUGUUGUCAGCACAAAGGGGCCUCUGAAAUCUCCUUGAUCAUGGUGGAGUCGCUGCUUCCUCAUAGUUCUGAUGUGAGGCCGGGCCUAAUCCGAUCCAGAAGAGGAGGCCUGGCAGGGCUCUCCCUUCGUGGGGCCCAGGGGAAGGCUGUGGGGCGAAGGUGUCUGUCUGUGUGUGUGCACAUGCGCCGGCCGUGCAAGCGUACCGUGUCAUUCAGCGACUCUGUCUCUUUCCAAAAACAGAUUCCAGGCCUCUCUGUACACAUCCAGAAGCGAUCGUGGCACUUCUCGAGGAAGCAGAUCUGGCAACAAGAAUUAGAUGGUGAAGCGGGCGGGACUCCUUUUCUUUUCUCUCUCCAGACACGGCAGCUGCUUGUGACACCAUUCUGAGAGCUGGGUGGCUGGCAGGGGACAAUCCUCCCUUUGCUGCUCUGCUGAGACUCCACUGGCCAGAGCACCCCACAACCCACAGCGGAGGGACCAUCGGACGCCUUUUAUGGCUCCAAAUUUGAACAGAACCCGUUUCUGCCCAUUUCUUUGGGCCAAAUUUUUGGGAAGAGAUGAAAAAACAGAAACAAAGCCCCGGAAACUGUAGCGAAGCAGGGACAAAGGGGUUGCCUAAUUUUGAGUUCAGUGCUGUUUUUCUAAGAUUUGAUUCUCUAAAAAGCAGUACAAAGCACAUAAUGAUGCCUCACAACUAGGCCUUCUCCUGAGCUCCCCUGUGCCCUUCCCCUAAAUUCAAACCACUUGUCUCCACAUACGCUUUCUGGCGACACUGGAAGCUGGGGCCGCCACAGCUGGCCACCCCGGGCUCGCGGGCAUAUGGCUGUGGAAGGUGUGGGGGCACCCAGGGGGAUCCUAACUGCCAGGACAACCUUUCCAUCCAGAUUGGAGACGUCAUCUGCAGGGGACCCAAGGGACCCGGCCACUGCCUCUUUGACUCAGUCUGGGAGAAGAUGUCCAGGGCUAGGAAGGAAAAGAAUCUGUUUCUACCUCUUCUUCCGCCCCCGUGCCCACUGGAUGUGUCUAAGGCCCAGAGAGGGUCCAGAGAGGGCCAACACCAGACCUCCCACGCUGAGCCCCGGACGGUGACAAAGUAGGCGAGAGGAAUCAGGACAGGAGGGGAGGAGGCCGAGCUCGGUGCGCGUGCAGUUCUGUCGGAGUCCAGCGUUCCGAGCUCUCAGCACAACACAACACCCUGCCUCUGCGGAGGCAGAAGGAGCCCCGCCAGUCAGCCCGCAGACGGGCAAGCCAAGGGCCAGGGACGGGUGGGGAUCGCUCCAGCACUUCAGGACUUUAUCAAGAGUUGGGAAUAGAAGCUGGGGACCCCAGGGCCAUCAGCAGACCCUCCUGGAGCUCUCGGGCUCAGAAAGCCUGGAGUCCACUUGAACAAUGGCCUUGUCCCUGCUUGGCCAGCUCUUCCAGUCCCUGAGGAUCCAGUUUCUGUGAGAGUCAGGCAGAGACCCUCCUGCCUCAAAAGGGGGUCUGCAGAGGGUGGGGCCCUUGUUCCUGCCCAUCUCCUAACUCCCCAGCUCCCUGCCCCAGGGGAAAGCUCCUCGGAGUCCCAAACCCAACCCUCUAGCUCAGUAGAACACAGAUGUUAUCUGGCCAGGAGCUGAUUCACCCUGCUGACAUCUCAGCCGCUGGGCAGGAACGUAGAGACAGAGCCACACAGAGCAGUCCCAGGGCAGGGCAGCAGCAAGAGGCUCCCCCUGCCUGCGCUGCACAACUGUGGGAGUAGGGCUGGGGAGCAGGUGAUGGCCAUCAGGGACUGUCGCCGAAACUCAGAAGAGCGUCCUGUAGGAGAAGGGAGCCCCAGAGUUGAGAUGGAUUUUCAGAGACCACUGGGGCUCUGGGGGCAGUGCUGACUUCUUCAGGUGUGGAAGCCAGGCUGGGUGGGGGCUGGGAGGAGACGGCCAGACCAGGUGGCCUCACAGGAGCUCACCUGGGAGGGACAGGAGCACUUUCGUCAAGCUCUGUACCUCUCACUCUUCAUUUCUACUGGCUGGUUGGAUGGAGCUAGAACCAAGGUCUCUUGACUUCCCAGAUUUGAUAGUUAAAUGGAGAAAACAGAAAUCUCAUGAGGUUUUCAAACGUGACAGUCCCAGUUUGAAUAUCUGGUUUCUAUUCUUGCUGGCCACAUGGUCCUUCCUCUCUGUGUGACUCAGGGUCCCCUUCUGUAAGAUGGCGACAGUCACAACUACAGAGGCUCUUGGGAGAGUUAAGAUCACAUCUCUCAAUGCUCUGGAAACAAAUGCGUUUCUCCUCCCAUGUUACAGAGGAGCAGAGAGUUUGGGGUCUCGAGAGAAAGCAGCUGGCAGUGGAAGCUGAGAGGGCAGCUGAUGGAAGCUGAUUUCAGCACCAGGACCCAGAUGCCUCCUCCUCACGUCCCCCUGAGCAGCGGCUCCAGUCGAGAGACCAGGGAUAUUUAUUGCCUUUGUCCCCCAGAUAAGGCUCGACUAACUAAUGCAGCCAGCUGUUCGGAGUCAUGGGAGUGAAGAUUCUGCUGAGCUGGGGUGGUGACUCAGGUCUGAGUCCCAGCCCUGUUCUCUCAAGCAGGAGCUGGCAAAUUACGGCCAUGGGAUGGAUCCUGUUGACUGCCCAUUUUUGUA